rnacentral:lncRNA from 1 species
UAACACUGAGACAUUAUAUUAAUUAUGAAUAUAAAAGUUGAGGCUGGGCGCGGUGGCUCACGCCUGUGGUCCCAGCACUUUGGGAGGCCGAGGUGGGCGGAUCAUGAGGUCAGGAGAUCGAGACCAUCCUGGCUGACGUGGUGAGACCCCGUCUCUACUAAAAAUACAAAAAAAAAAAAAUUAGCCGGGCAUGGUGGCAGGCGCCUGUAGUUCCAGCUACUCGGGAGGCUGAGGCAGGAGAAUGGCGUGAA